GGCCCGUUAGCUCAGUGGUUAGAGCGUCGUGCAAAACGCGAAGGUCGGGUUCGAUCCUCAGGGGGCCG
rnacentral:tRNA from 1 species